rnacentral:misc_RNA from 1 species
AUAAUGUCGGCAUUUGCGUCCCAAUUGUUGAAAUCUCCAAUGAGGGCAGCUGACUGGGCACCAGGAGCCCACUCACGGUAAGUGAUACCUGUAUCACUAUGAGUGAAACCCAUUUUUUCGUAACCACGAGAAAAAGCUUCCAAACCACCCUCAUACUUGUCAAUUGCCUCCCUCAUUUUCUUGUACUGUGAAUACCUGUAAUCAAGGUGUUGACGAUAGUUUGUCAAAAGAGGGUCUAUUUCAUAAAUCUUCUGACCAAGUCCAGGUGGAGGUAUGCCCUUCUCUCUGAUCCUAUUAGAUUCAUCACUAAUUGUCUCUUCAGAAGUAUCUAAUGUUUUAGACUCCUCCACUUUAUCACCUUCUUGUAGUUGUAGUGAUGAAGCAAAUUCCAGCUCUUCAAUACUUCCUAUAAGAUCACUUGACGGCUCAACGUCACCGUUCUCAGUUUUAAUCUGGCUAGCGUGUUCCAUUGUUGAACUAUCUACAUCAGUUGAUGCCAGGGAAUUUUCUGGAG